GCCUGUUUAUCAAAAACAUGUCUUUUUGGGUAUUAUUUAAAGUCUGGCCUGCCCAAUGAUUUAUUUAAUGGCCGCGGUAUUUUGACCGUGCAAAGGUAGCAUAAUCAUUAGUUUUUUUAUUGAAAGCUGGAAUGAACGGUUUGACGAGAAAAUGACUGUCUUGGAUUAAUAAAGUUGAAUUUUACUUUUGAGUAAAAAGGCUCAAAUUAAUAUAAGGGACGAGAAGACCCUAUAGAAUUUUAUUAUUUUAUUAGGACAGUUAAAGUUUAGAAUUUUUAGUUCUGUAUUAGUAAAAUAAUUUUGUUGGGGCGAUAAAAAAAUUUGAUUAACUUUUUUUCUUUUUUGAACACUAAUUUGUGAUUAAUUGAUCUAUUACUAAUGAUUAUAAGAAUAAAUUACCUUAGGGAUAACAGCGUAAUUGAUUUGGAGAGUUCUUAUCGAUAAAUUAGUUUGCGACCUCGAUGUUGGAUUAAAAUUAACUUUUGGCGCAAGGGCUAAAAAGCUGAGUCUGUUCGACUUUUAAAAUUUUACAUGAUCUGAGUUUAAACCGG
rnacentral:rRNA from 1 species